rnacentral:lncRNA from 1 species
UAGAAAGCUCUUCCCUCUGUGGAAAUGGCUAUAAAUCCACUUGCCCGCACUCUUCAGACGGCAACCCUUCAGACCCCCGUGAGGGGUCACCCGGUCUGUCCCCCCUGCCCGUGUGGGUCCCUGGUGUCUGGAGGCCCCUGGCUGUCGGCGCACUGGGGUGUGCGGGAGCACAGAUGGGCCCCUCAGCCGCUGUAAUGGCCUCGUCUGUCUAAUUAGCAUGCAAUUAGCCUAAUGCAUAUUUUAACAUCGCAUCAGAGUUGCUCAUCAAUCAUCCCCAGCCCGGGACAGACAGACAGACAGACAGACAGACAGACAGAGAGUUGGCCCACAGAGCUAGGAGGAAGAAAGUCUUAUGAGUGACUUGUCAGGGUUACAGCACCCCCAGAAGAGCCCGGGGUGCUGUGCAGUGUUAAAAGGCCUAAAGUCCUUUCCUCCAGUUUACAGGACAGCAUAACGGUGCUCAGGCCUCAGUUUCUCUUUUGCAGCUUGACCCCCGCUUGAGCCAGUGGAAUUGGCUGUGGCUCCCUGCGAGCGAUCUCCCCCAACUGAUGCUGUCCCGCCAGCAGGCUGGGAAUCUUCUGAGGCCAGAACCCUGCCCUUCUCUUCCCCUUCCUCUCCUGUCUUCUCCCCACCCCCCUCCACCCAGAAUUCCCAGCUAAGGACGAUGAUCCUGAACAGGAAGAGCACCGGACCGGGAGUCACUGAAUACAUGUGUGAUAACGACGGGACCGCCCCUCUCCGCAGAGUCCAUCUCCACUGUGUGGAGCGGAGAGAACACAGGCUUGCCAGAGGGAUGAACCGGAACGUGACACUGUCACCGUCAGACCCCGAGCGGCGGAACACAGAAGCCUAAAUAUUUCAUGGUCAAAUUCAUCAAUAAUGGAGACCGAGACUAAAUUACAUAACUGUCACCUUUCUGUUAAAUAAUAUUUUCUGCAGGGGGCUGGGAGGGGCCUGUGGAGGACUUUAUUGCUAGUCAUGAAUGAUUUAGGCUGCAAAUAAAGAGAUCAGGAAAAAGAGAAAGAGAGGUGGAUUUUCUAGGAUCAUUUCCC